GAUGAACGCUAGCGACAGGCUUAACACAUGCAAGUCGCGGGCUAGCAGGGGUGUUGCUUGCACCCCCUGACGGCGACCGGGUCACUAGCGAGUAACCCGUAUCCAACCUGCCCUUCACCACCGGACAACACGGCGGAAUACUACCCCAUACGGUAUCUUAUCGAUUUCUUUAAUCCGUUAAAGACGAAAGGCUGGGUGGGGUGGGCGUGGGUCUGCGUCCGAUUAGCGUGACGGCGGGGUAACGGCCCACCGUGGCUACGAUCGGUAGGGGUUCUGAGAGGAAGGUCCCCCACACUGGAACUGAGACACGGUCCAGACUCCUACGGGAGGCAGCAGUAAGGAAUAUUGGUCAAUGGGCGAAAGCCUGAACCAGCCAAGUAGCGUGCAGGAUGACGGCCCUAUGGGUUGUAAACUGCUUUUGUGAGGGGAUAAUGUGGGCGACGUGUGGGCUUUUGCAGGUACCGCAUGAAUAAGGACCGGCUAAUUCCGUG
rnacentral:rRNA from 1 species